CUCAGGGGUACUUAACCACUAAGCCAUAUCCCCAGCUCUUUUAUUUUUGUUUUAAGACAGGGUCUUGCUGGGCGCAGUGAUGCACACUUGUAAUCCCAGUGGCUCGGGAGGCUGAGACAGGAGGAUCAAAAGAGUUCAAAGCCAGACUCAGCAAAAGCGAGGUGCUAAGCAACUCAGUAAAACUCCGUGUCUAAAUAAAAUACAAAAUAGGGCUGGGGAUGUGUCAGUAGUCAAGUGCCUGUGAGUUCAAACCCCAUACCAGAAAUAAAUAAAUAAAUAAAUAAAUAAAUAAAUAAAUACAGGGUCUUGCUGAAGCUGGCCUCAAACUUACAAUCUUCCUGCCUCAGCUUUCCUAUUCGCUGGGAUUACAGACAUGUGCCAUAGCACCUGGCUAGGACUGAUAUUCUUUCUGGCACUAGAAUUUACUUUGAAGGAAGUGUGAAGUCAUAGCUUAGAUGUAGAGCUUAGCAUAUGCAAGAACCUGGUUUAAUCCCCAGCAACCCAAAACAUUACUCUGAAGGGCCUCAGAUCUAGUCCACACAAAAUGGACUAAAUCAUGGCAAUCUUGUCACAGUAAAAUAUAGAAUUUUGCUAAGCACAGUGGCAUACACUAAUAAUCCCAGCAACUGGAGGGACUGAGGUAGGAGUAUCACAAAUUCAAAAUCAAUUUAGUGCAACCCAGUCUCAAAAUAAAGAGCUAGGACUGUAAUUUGGUGGUAGAGUGUGUGUUUCGUAUGAAACUUUAGGUUUAAUAUCUAGCAUUACAAAAAUGAACAACAACAAAAAAAGGCUUCAAAAUAAAAUAUAAAGGAAUGAGGAUGAAACUCAGUGAUAGAGCAUCCUUGGGUUAAAUUCCC
rnacentral:lncRNA from 1 species